rnacentral:rRNA from 1 species
UUGAACGCUGGCGGAAUGCUUUACACAUGCAAGUCGAGCGGCAGCGCGGGGGCAACCCUGGCGGCGAGCGGCGAACGGGUGAGUAACACAUCGGAACGUACCCAGUUGUGGGGGAUAGCCCGGCGAAAGCCGGAUUAAUACCGCAUACGACCUGAGGGUGAAAGGGGGGGAUCGCAAGACCUCUCGCAGUUGGAGCGGCCGAUGGCGGAUUAGCUAGUUGGUGGGGUAAAGGCCUACCAAGGCGACGAUCCGUAGCUGGUCUGAGAGGACGACCAGCCACACUGGAACUGAGACACGGUCCAGACUCCUACGGGAGGCAGCAGUGGGGAAUUUUGGACAAUGGGGGCAACCCUGAUCCAGCCAUUCCGCGUGAGUGAAGAAGGCCUUCGGGUUGUAAAGCUCUUUCGGCAGGAACGAAACGGUAAGGGCUAAUAUCCUUUGCUAAUGACGGUACCUGAAGAAGAAGCACCGGCUAACUACGU